UACGAAGGGGGCUAGCGUUGCUCGGAAUCACUGGGCGUAAAGGGUGCGUAGGCGGGUCUUUAAGUCAGGGGUGAAAUCCUGGAGCUCAACUCCAGAACUGCCUUUGAUACUGAAGAUCUUGAGUUCGGGAGAGGUGAGUGGAACUGCGAGUGUAGAGGUGAAAUUCGUAGAUAUUCGCAAGAACACCAGUGGCGAAGGCGGCUCACUGGCCCGAUACUGACGCUGAGGCACGAAAGCGUGGGGGAAG
rnacentral:rRNA from 1 species